GGAGAGAUGUCCGAGUUGGCCGAAGGAGCACGAUUGGAAAUCGUGUAACGGCUUAUCCCCGUUCCAGAGUUCGAAUCUCUGUCUCUCCGCCA
rnacentral:tRNA from 2 species